AACGCAUCUUGCGCUCCUUGGUAUUCCGAGGAGCAUGCCUGUUUGAGUGUCGUGAAUCUUCUCAAACUCAACCUUUUCUUAAUUGAAAUGUGUUGUGGGUUUGGACUUGGAUGUUUUGCUGUCAAAGCUUCUUGACGGCUCGUCCGAAAUGCAUUAGCAGAUCUCACCUCUUAAAGGUUCAUGCUAACGGUGUGAUAAGACACAAACUUGUUUACCCGUUGAACGAACUGGAGAAAAGUGUGUAAGGCUGCUUCUAGCUGUCUGUUCGCAGACAAACUCUUCACAAUCUGACCUCAAAUCAGGUAGGACUACCCGCUGAACUUAA
rnacentral:misc_RNA from 1 species